UGGGGAAUAUUGGACAAUGGGCGCAAGCCUGAUCCAGCCCUGCCGCGUGGGUGAAGAAGGCCUUCGUGUUGUAAAGCCCUUUUGUCCGGAAAGAAAAGCUUCGGGUUAAUACCCCGGGGUUCUGACGGUACCGGAAGAAUAAGCACCGGCUAACUUCGUGCCAGCAGCCGCGGUAAUACGAAGGGUGCAAGCGUUACUCGGAAUUACUGGGCGUAAAGCGUGCGUAGGUGGUUUGUUAAGUCUGAUGUGAAAGCCCUGGGCUCAACCUGGGAAUUGCAUUGGAUACUGGCAGGCUAGAGUGCGGUAGAGGGUAGUGGAAUUCCCGGUGUAGCAGUGAAAUGCGUAGAUAUCGGGAGGAACACCAGUGGCGAAGGCGACUACCUGGACCAGCACUGACACUGAGGCACGAAAGCGUGGGGAGCAAACA
rnacentral:rRNA from 1 species